rnacentral:rRNA from 1 species
UACAGAGGUCUCAAGCGUUGUUCGGAUUCAUUGGGCGUAAAGGGUGCGUAGGUGGCGGGGUAAGUCAGGUGUGAAAUUUCGGAGCUUAACUCCGAAACUGCAUUUGAUACUGCCUUGCUUGAGGACUGGAGAGGAGACUGGAAUUCACGGUGUAGCAGUGAAAUGCGUAGAUAUCGUGAGGAAGACCAGUGGCGAAGGCGGGUCUCUGGACAGUUCCUGACGCUGAGGAGCGAAAGCGUGGGGAGCGAACAGG